CCUACGUGUGACAGCAGUGAGGAAUAUUGGUCAAUGGGCGCGAGCCUGAACCAGCCAAGUAGCGUGAAGGAUGACUGCCCUACGGGUUGUAAACUUCUUUUAUAAAGGAAUAAAGUGAGGCACGUGUGCCUUUUUGUAUGUACUUUAUGAAUAAGGAUCGGCUAACUCCGUGCCAGCAGCCGCGGUAAUACGGAGGAUCCGAGCGUUAUCCGGAUUUAUUGGGUUUAAAGGGAGCGUAGAUGGGUUGUUAAGUCAGUUGUGAAAGUUUGCGGCGCAACCGUAAAAUUGCAAUUGAUACUGGCAGCCUUGAGGACAGUUGAGGUAGGCGGAAUUCGUGGUGUAGCGGUGAAAUGCUUAGAUAUCACGAAGAACUCCGAUUGCGAAGGCAGCAUACCGGCGCCCGACUGACGCUGAGGCACGAAAGCGUGGGUAUCGAACAGGAUUAGAUACCCUGGUAGGC
rnacentral:rRNA from 1 species